rnacentral:rRNA from 1 species
GACGAACGCUGGCGGCAGGCCUAACACCUGCAAGUCGAGCGGAGCGGCGGACGGGUGAGUAAAACCUAGGAAUCUACCUGAUCGUGGGGGAUAACGUUCGGAAACGGACGCUGAUACCGCAUACUAUCAGAUGAGCCUAGGUCGGAUUAGCUAGUUGGUGAGGUAAUGGCUCACCAAGGAUAAGAUCCGUAACUGGUCUGAGAGGAUGAUCAGUCACACGGGAACUGAGACACGGUCCAGACUCCUACGGGAGGCAGCAGUGGGGAAGAUGGGACAAUGGGCGAAAGUCUGAUCCAGCCAUGCCGCGUGUGUGAAGAAGGUCUUCGGAUUGUAAAGCACUUUAAGUUGGGAGGCGUUACCGACAGAAUAAGCACCGGCUAACUCUGUGCCAGCAGCCGCGGGAAUC